AUGGCAGAGUCCCUGCUUCUGCCUCUAGUGCGCGGCGUGGCCGGCAAGGCUGCAGAUGCACUCGUCGAGACCGUGACCCGCAUGUGUGGCCUCGACGACGACCGCCGAAUGCUGGAGCGCCAUCUGCUAGCCGUCGAGUGCAAGCUGGCUAACGCCGAGGAGAGGAGCGAGACAAACGCCUAUGUCAAGAGCUGGAUGAAUGAGCUCAAGUCUGUCGCCUACGAGGCCGACGACGUGCUCGAUGACUUCCAGUAUGAGGCACUGCGCCGUCAGUCUAAGAUUGGCAAGUCCACUAUCCGCAAGGUACUCGGCUACAUGAAGCACCACAGCCCACUGCUCUUCCGUUUUGAAAUGAGCAAGAAACUCAAGAACGUACUCGAGAAGAUCAAUAAAUUGGUUGAGGAGAUGAACAAGUUUGGUCUGGAGAAUUCUGUACAUAGGGAGGAGCAGCAACAUUCUUGGCGGCAGACACACUCAAAACUGGACGACUCUACCAAAAUCUUUGGAAGAGAUGAUGAUAAGGAAGUGGUGGUGAAGUUGCUGCUGGACCAGCAAGAUCAGCGGAAGGUGCAGGUGCUGCCCAUCUUUGGGAUGGGAGGUCUUGGCAAGACAACUCUUGCUAAGAUGUUGUAUAAUGACCAAGGGGUCCAGCAGCAUUUCCAGUAUUGA
rnacentral:rRNA from 1 species